UUUUAAUUCAAAUCCUGCGAUAUAUAAAUAAAUGUCGAGUCAAAACGACACAAAAUCAAAAUGAAAACCAAUUUAUUUUCACUAUUUUUAAUCGUAAUUCUAAUAUCGAUGUGCAAGGCGAUAUUUCGAGAGGAUGACGAAGAAUCUGGUAAUCCAUUGACGAGAGCUUUGCCUCGUCCAGCAUUCCCUCCUGAAGAGGAACCAUUUGACAUCUACCUCAAUUACCCGAAAGAUGUCGCUAAUAUCGAAAAUAUGUAUUUGAAAUGCGAAUGGUACGAAAACGAUGAAUAAUUUAUAAAAAAAAUUCUUUAUGAAAUAUGAAUAAAUAAUUGACAGCAA